rnacentral:rRNA from 1 species
AAACUCAAAGGAAUUGACGGGGGCCCGCACAAGCAGUGGAGUAUGUGGUUUAAUUCGAAGCAACGCGAAAAACCUUACCAGGUCUUGACAUCCAACGACCGCCUAAGAGAUUAGGCUUUCCUUCGGGACGUUGAGACAGGUGGUGCAUGGUUGUCGUCAGCUCGUGUCGUGAGAUGUUGGGUUAAGUCCCGCAACGAGCGCAACCCUUAUUACUAGUUACUACGCAAGAGGACUCUAGUGAGACUGCCGUUGACAAAACGGAGGAAGGUGGGGAUGACGUCAAAUCAUCAUGCCCUUUAUGACCUGGGCUACACACGUACUACAAUGGCUAUUAACAGAGAGAAGCGAGACCGCAAGGUGGAGCAAACCUCAGAAAAAUAGUCUCAGUUCGGAUUGGGGCUGCAACCCGCCCCCAUGAAGCCGGAAUUGCUAGUAAUCGCGGAUCAGCAUGCCGCGGUGAAUACGUUCCCGGGCCUUGUACACACCGCCCGUCACACCAUGAGAGCCGGGGGACCCGAAGUCGGUAGUCUAACCGCAAGGAAGACGCCGCCGAAGGUAAAACUGGUGAUUGGGGUGAAGUCGUAACAAGGUAGCCGUAUCGGAAGGUGCGGCUGGAUCACCUCCUUUAUG